GACUCAGGCACAAGCCCUGGAUGUGGUGGGGUAGAGAGCGUCAUUGUGACACUACACAGCAGUGAUAUACAGUACUCAAUCCGGACCUGAGGCUAUUGACUCGAAGGGAAUCAUGCACGAGCAUGGAUGCAGAUACUAAUCUAAGUUAUCUGUCAAUCCAUCUCCAUCUACCUGCUGUUAUCGAAUAGCUAAGUAAGAUUGAUUUAGCUCGACUGCAAGCUAAAGACGAUAGCUUUUAUUAGACGUCAUAAGCUAACCGGCUAGCUAGCUCAUAUAGGAUGACAGACAGACUGCCCGAUGAGGGACACACCACAUGCAGUGUUUGGAAUGCAGCCAAAGACGGACUGAAAUUAAUGGAUUCCAAUUAUAUCAUUUCAUUAACAGUUCAACCUAUUAAAUACAGAUGUAGACCUACAUCACAAUG